rnacentral:rRNA from 1 species
GGGAAUCUUAGACAAUGGGGGAAACCCUGAUCUAGCCAUGCCGCGUGAGUGACGAAGGCCUUAGGGUCGUAAAGCUCUUUCGCCGGGGAAGAUAAUGACGGUACCCGGUAAAGAAGUCCCGGCUAACUCCGUGCAAGCAGCCGCGGUAAUACGGAGGGGACUAGCGUUGUUCGGAAUUACUGGGCGUAAUGCGCGCGUAGGCGGAUCGUUAAGUCAGGGGUGAAAUCCUGGGGCUCAACCCCAGAACUGCCCUUGAUACUGGCGGCCUUGAGUUCGAGAGAGGUGAGUGGAAUUCCGAGUGUAGAGGUGAAAUUCGUAGAUAUUCGGAGGAACACCAGUGGCGAAGGCGGCUCACUGGCUCGAUACUGACGCUGAGGUGCGAAAGCGUGGGGAGCAAA